UCUGGACCAACUUUACGUCAUAGCGGCGGGGGAAUUGGAAAAGAUUGCAGAACUUUUCAAUUAAAUCUAUCCCUUAGAUUGCAUUGGUAUAAUUGCUAAAGUUUAUCUGCAGUGCACCUAAAAUUUUCCAGAGCAACUAGAUCUCAUGUAAGGCGUUCACAUCGCUCUUCUCAGCAACAGGCUGGGUAAGGUCUAGUAAAUACGGACCUAAGCUGGAAUAUCUGGUGGACACUGAGUAGCUAGUUUACAUGUAAACAGCUUAGGCUACGUGAGGUUAGCUUGCUAACUAGCUGGAGAAAUCAGAGCCAGCAUGUGGGCAUCAUGCCCUGCCUCCUGGACCCUCUAAACCAGGCAACACCCUCGUCUAAACCAAACACAGCGUUUCCAGUUGUGAGAACAUGUCUGACCCAGACAGUCACCUGCUGUUAGCUUCAUAUGAAAAGAAGCACAACUUCAGACAGCAUCUGACCUUGAUUCUCUUGACAUGAUGUGUGGAAACGGCCAGACUGCGAACACACCUGAAAUGUCAAUAAGUACCAGUCUGCGAAAGGAAACAAAGCUGCAGGAAAACACCCGACUGUUUCCCGCCUUGUUUUUGCUAUUUUGCUCUGCUUUAAGAUUCCAAAGAGUUUAAAUGCUGUUGCCAAUGAAAUGACUGAUGGUGUCAUCUGGUGUUUGUGUGAGUGAAGUGUUAGGGGGCGUGCCUGCGAGGCGGCGUGUGGGGGUUCUCGGUGUUCCAGCCGGUGUGCCGGCGGUGACGAGCGUUAUGGACAAGGGAGGAGCUGGCUGGCUGGCUGGUCUGUCUCCCCACUGAGGGUCAGCCAAAAGGGGCUAACCAUCGAGGCAGCAGUUGGUGUGUGGGGCAGUGGGGGGGGGGUGCAUUGUUAGCAACAACGGCUACUGAACUCUGCACAACCCCCCGGCCAAGAUAGCGUGGUGGAGCCAGCCAGAUGGGACGGAGAGGAGGGAGGAGGCGAGGGGAAGUUGGUGCGGCCCAAGGAGUGGCGGCUGUGAUUGAGGAGGCAUGAGUCGGGGGUUUGUUGGGGUAACUUCAAAUAUGUCCGUCUCAUGUUCACGUUUUUUGAUUUGCUCGUCUUUCAUGUCCUCCCUCAGCAGGGUCGGCUGUGCCCCCACCUCGUAUGCCAGGCCAUGCACCAGCAAACAUGCCCAUAAUCACGGGAGGCAUUGGGACACGGCAAAAGCAAGGGGAAAAAAACCACCCCUAGUGAGCGGUGGCACAACACUGGUGACCUUUUAGAGGCAAUUUCCCCCUAGACAAUUCUUACACAUGCAAUCUCUCCUGAAGGCGGCGUGAAGUCCCUGUGGGAGUUCGCAGUUUCAAACGACCGAGAAUCGUUUCAGUAGAGACGCACCAAUCAAAUGUCAAGAGAUCAGAACGAGCUGAUUAACAUGUGAUCAGCCUUGAUCAGUGUGAACAACAAAUAAAUUGUUUUUUCAUA